GAUGAAGAACGCAGCGAAAUGCGAUAAGUAAUGUGAAUUGCAGAAUUCAGUGAAUCAUCGAAUCUUUGAACGCACAUUGCGCCCCCUGGUAUUCCGGGGGGCAUGCCUGUUCGAGCGUCAUUUCACCACUCAAGCCUCGCUUGGUAUUGGGCAACGCGGUCCGCCGCGUGCCUCAAAUCGACCGGCUGGGUCUUCUGUCCCCUAAGCGUUGUGGAAACUUUCGCUAAAGGGUGUUCGGGAGGCUACGCCGGAAAACAACCCCAUUUCUAAGGUUGACCUCGGAUCAGGUAGGGAUACCCGCUGAACUUAAGCAUAUCAAUAAGCGGAGGA
rnacentral:misc_RNA from 1 species